GUUUGCCUUUCCUCACUCAGUUGCAGCCAACUCUGCUGUGUGUUGCAGGAAGUUUUAAGAUCACUGAAUAUGGACUUUCUCUAUUAGUACUGCUGAGCCUGUACUAAUUACUUAUUUCUCUGUAGGGCAUGUUGACUUAAUUUCUAUGCUGUUUCCAUGCAGUCUUGCCAUUUUUGUCUGCAGACAGAGUAUGUUUUGUGUACCAGCAGAGACAGAACUGCAGUAAGGUGCUUUGAUAGCUACAGGCAGUUUGGCUGCUGGGCCCAAACUCUUCUCCUUGCUAUGCCACUCUGAGUAGCUAAGUUCUUCCAGGUGGUAAUGAUCAUUUCAGCAGUUAUACUGAACCUAUAGCACCUGUGCAGCUUCUCUGGGCAAAGCAGAAGUAGCUUCAGUUGCUGAGAACUGGAUGUAUUUGACUUUCCUUCUCCUGAAGAAUAUGUAGGUUAACAACCCUGUGUUCCAGGCUCAUGGUCCUACAUGCGCAGAGUUGUGACUACCACCAAAACUCCAGAGUGAAUGAAAAGGCUCCUGUCAGUGAGUUCCUUCUCAGCCAUCACUAGGUGAACACUACACACAGGACCUUUCCUGUCCUAGUCUGAAGAGUCCAGUGCCUUCACUGGAUCCAGCCUUAGGUGACCAUCUGCAUUUUCAGUUAUACAAGUGCAGCUCAGCUCAGAGAAAUGUGCUUUGAUCUCAGAGUAAAAUGAGUUUUACAACAAUCUUUCUUGAGUUGUGGACACACUAUUCCAGAACUGAUUACAUCUGUGCCAAGGACAGAGAGACUACCAAGCUGAUCACAGUGACGGAAGCUUAUAAAGACUACGUUAUUCUGUGAUGCUGCUAGAGAGCCGAGAAAAUUAGAAGUGGUGAGGUAUGUACACUGCGAGCUGUAUUUUCCUCAUUAAUGUGCAAAAGAGGUGAUGAAGAUUAGGGACUUAUCACGCUGCUACCAUCCCCCCAAUGGAAGCAGAAUUAUGAGAUAUGCCCCCUGCUGCUGGUCCUGGAAAGGCCUGGGAACAUCAGAAAGAGAUGAUAAAUAGUUCAGAAAUAUCAAGUUUUGAACAGUGCACGGAGGCAGCGACUUCUGCUUUGGACGCCGCUCUCUUUUUAAAGACCGCGUUGUUACAGCUAAAUCUAGAGACAAUUCUUAAAAAGCAUUAGAUGGCAGAAAAGGGGGGAAAGUCUUACCGUCGAAAGACUGCUGCAGGUUCCAGCUCAGCCUGAAACUGCAGGGAAAAGUGGAGCAGCUGCUGAACAAAAGUUUUAGAUUUUUUUUUUUUUCAGAAAGUCUGCAAAACUAAUUUCCCACAAAAUAGGACUCAAUUUCCGUUUAAGAAAGCAGCUCUUGCAAAUCUCAUACAAUUCCUGAUUUUUUCCAAUGGCGAUUCAAAUUCAUUUUUAUCUUUCGCACAUGGACCCAAGAGUUUAGACUGAAAUGGCAGAGCGCAGUGCUUUUUUUUUUUUUUUUUUUCUUUUCACUUUAAGUUUGGUUUGCGGGGAGGAGGAGGAAGGCAGAGCGAAGAGAAGGGGCGAAGGAACUCAGCGUUUCGGCAGUGGGCAUCUCUAGGCAACGAUCAAUAAACGCUUUAUCCUAAUCUAAACCCGUGUACAGCCUUCCUCGGGGCUACCGCUAAUCCCACGCCACGCGCAGCCCAGGCUGUCCCUCUCCAGGUUCUCCCACGCUAAAGACUGAGACGCAGCAAAUGAAGAAGCAGAGAAGUUGGGCAAACUGCGCUUUUGGAGGGGCAGGGGGCAAAAGAGGCGACUUGUCCGUGUUCGAACACACGUGGCGGCUCGCUGAGCGCCGGGACUUUCGUGGCAGACCCACAGGCACCGGGGGUCUCCUGUCCUUAAGGCCGAGGUGUGCGCGGGGGUGACUACGGGGCUGCUCUGGGCGGGACAGCCUCGCACAGCCGUGCCGGGCCGUGCCCAGGUGCGCUGGGAGCUCAGGUGGGGCUGCAGCCCCGCGCCCUCCGGGCGUAUUUGAUUUCACCCAUCUCCUGCACCUCGG
ensembl:lncRNA